rnacentral:rRNA from 1 species
UACGGAGGGUGCAAGCGUUAUCCGGAUUCACUGGGUUUAAAGGGUGCGUAGGCGGCGGGGCAAGUUCUGAUGUGAAAUCCCGGGGCUCAACCCCGGAACUGCAUUGGAUACUGCCUUGCUAGAGUACGUGGAGAGGGAAUCGUGGAAUUUGACCGGUGGUAAGCAGCGAAAUGCGUAGAGAUCGUAAGGAAGGCCAGUGGCGAAGGCGAGUUCCUGGACAGUUACUGACGCUGAGGCACGAAGGCCAGGGAGCAAACGGG